UAGUUAAGAACCACUUUACAUAGUACAUUUAUUAUGUAUAUUUAUAUAUACAUAAUAAAUAUACACAGUAUACACACAUAUAUUAUGUAAACAAAACUUUUAUUUUGGAUGUGAUUAAUCGUGAUUAAUCAUUUGACAGCACUAAUAGUUAUAUAUAUAUAUAAAAUAAUAUGUAUAUACGCAUGUCCGAAGAUGUUAUUACCAUUAAAACUUCAAAUAAUCAGAAUAAAAAAGACUACAACAAAAUAAAAUAGAAUAAUGAAACAAAAAAAAAAAUAACGUUAAUAAAAUACAACAACGGAUAAAAUAACAUAAAAUAAAAACAAAUAAAAUAAACCUUUCUGCGGUGGUGAUGUUAUUAAACUACACUUCCCAUGAUUCUGCGCGCAUCACGGAUGUUUUGCGUUUACCGGAUACACGUUUCUGCUCUCGAGUUCUGAUUCACCUGGUGACAUUAAAACCAUCAACCGGCUCUCGGUGAGACCACAGUUAUUAACCUAUUAAAACUUUACAAAUAAUACAGAAUAAAAAAGACUAACAACAAAAUAAAAUAAGAAUAAUAGAAACAAAAAAAAAAUAACGUUAAUAAAAUACAACAACGGAUAAAAUAACAUAAAAUAAAAACAAAUAAAAUAAACCUUUCUGCGGUGGUGAUGUUAUUAAACUACACUUCCCAUGAUUCUGCGCGCAUCACGGAUGUUUUGCGUUUACCGGAUACACGUUUCUGCUCUCGAGUUCUGAUUCACCUGGUGACAUUAAAACCAUCAACCGGCUCUCGGUGAGACCACAGGCACGCCACCACAGUGAGAGCACGCCACCUUCUCUGUUAACGGAACCCGUUGUUGUUACGGUUGCGAUGUUCCUGUCGUCGGUACCGGCGCGCGUCCUGAUGCGAAGGUCGCGCAGUCUGUCGCCGCGCCGCGCGCUGCAGACCGGCCACGGCGAGGCCUCGCGCUUCCGAAACCUCUGCGAGCUCGAACCGAACCGGAGCCCAGUGGCCAGCGGAUCGCGCGCGGCCAGGAAGAGCGUCGCGAGCGAGGAGUCGCGCGUGCAGUACCAUCAGCUGGCCAGCAGAUGGCGCGUGAGUCUGGAGACCCGGCGGAGCAGCUGGGCGAGUGUGACCGCCGCGGGGCGCUGCAGAGGCGGACACCAGAGCCGCUCAGAGUCCGCUGCUGCUGCUGGAGCCGCGGGCGUCGCGGGCGUCAUCUCCGCCGCGGCGCUCGCCUUCUGUUUGAAGAAAGACAGCGAUGAUAAAGCUGAAGCUCUUCUGGAUGCGGCCAGAUCCAGUAACACCGAGGAAGUUAUCAGGUGAGAUGCAAAAAAUAUCCGUUUGACAUCAGAUUGAUCACAAAAGACAAUAAAUGCAUUUAUAAUGUUACAAAUUUUUUUUUUAAUAUUCCUUUUUUUUUUUUUUUUUGAAGACCACAAACCACCAAUAUGUGCUAUUUAUUUGUUUUGUUUAUUUAAUUAUUUAUUCCUAUUUUAUUAUAUUUAUUUAUUUUAAUCUUAUUAAUUUAGCUAAUUUAUUCUUUUUUUUUUUUUUUUUUGAAAGCCACAAACCACCAAAUAUGUGCUAUUUAUUUGUUUUGUUUAUUUAAUUAUUUUAUCCUAUUUUUAUAUAUUUAUUUAUUUUAAUCUUAUUAAUUUAGAUUUAUUUUAUACUCUUUAUGUAUUAUUUUAAUCUAUAAAUUUAUUUUAAAGUAAUACAUUGUUGUAUUUAUUUUAAUCUAGUGUUUAAUUAAUUUAUUUUAUUUUAUUUUUGGUUGUAAUGUAAGAUGUUAUUUUAUUUAGUUAAGUUAUUUUGUUUAACUAUUUUAAUCUUAUUUAUUUUAUUUUUUUUUACACUUCUUUUCUAAACUUUUCCACUCCUUUGAAAACCCCUGUUUAAAUGACUUCAUGGCACCCUUCUAAUAUUCCCCUUUGGUAAAAUAAAUCAAGUAUAAACAUGAUGGCAGUCUAAAUGUUUCUCUGUGCCCAUGUGCCUUGUG
rnacentral:lncRNA from 1 species